UACGGAGGGUGCGAGCGUUGUCCGGAAUCACUGGGCGUAAAGGGCGCGUAGGUGGCCUGUGGAAGUCUGCGGUGAAAGCCCGGCGCUCAACGCCGGGUCGGCCGUGGAUACUCUCGGGCUUGAGCUUACUAGAGGCAGAUGGAAUUCCGGGUGUAGCGGUGGAAUGCGUAGAUAUCUGGAGGAACACCAGUGGCGAAGGCGGCAUCCUGGACCGGCAUUGACGCUGAGGCGCGAAAGCUAGGGUAGCAAACGGG
rnacentral:rRNA from 1 species